AAGUCGUAACAAGGUUUCCGUAGGUGAACCUGCGGAAGGAUCAUUAUUGAAUUAAUGUAGAGUUGGUUGUAGCUGGCAUUUCCUUUAAUUUGGGGAUUGCAUGUGCACACCUUCUCUUUCAUCCAUACACCCCUGUGCACUUGUGAGACAGAUUGCUUUUUGGAGGGGGACUUUAUUGGACCUUUCUUUUUGGCUCUCUGUCUACUUAAUUAAUAUAAACUCAAUUUAUUUUAAAAUGAAUGUAAUGGAUGUAACACAUCUAAUACUAAGUUUCAACAACGGAUCUCUUGGCUCUC
rnacentral:misc_RNA from 1 species